rnacentral:lncRNA from 1 species
UUUCAAUGCUACAAAGAACACUGCAGCACCUGUGCCGUAGGUUCCCUACCAGGGCCCUAGACUUACCCUAGUGAUAUCCUGGUGCCAGAGUGACCACAGAAGCCUUUCACCCCAGUUCUCCCAGGUCUUAACAAACAACACCUUGUCUGCCAGCUGCAGAAGCUGCCUCCUUUUCUCAGGCCCCGUCUCUGUGCUCAGGUCCCCUGUCUGGCUCUCCAUCCAAAGGACAGAGAUCAGAAAAGCUGUGGGUCCCUCUCAGCUGGAGUCUGUAUCAUCACCUGCACUGCAUACCUGAAGUGUGACAAGGCUGGCGCGCUCUGUAGAUUACAGAGGUGCAGAGAGCAGGACAAGCGAGGGCAAACAAGCCUCUAACGCAUGAAGGAACCACUGGGCUACCAGCAGUGCUCAGCUUGGAGUCCAGACCCUCAGCUGCAGUGAGUGCGCCACUCGGCGGGAGAAGCAUACAAGCAGGACUCUGCACUUAGGGAAGCAAACUCCUCCUGGAACAAGAUGGCCUUGGGGUGGGCAAUGGUGAGGGCAAGGGAUACUCUUUGGUCCCAGCUGCUGUCAGGAGUCUAAAGGGCUUCAUGCCUUGGAAGAGAAGAUAGGAGGUGUCUAAGUUCCCUGUGGCUCUGAGAAUUCAGGGUUUUACUCCUCCCCUGACCCUGAUAGACCCUGUCUAUCUCCGUGGCACCAAUAUCUGUUUUUAUGUAUUCUCGAGUCCCCUUUCUUUUGUUUCCUCCAUUAAUACUUCUCGUUCAGGGAAGGAUAAACAGGGUCAUAAUCAUGCUAUAAAGUGAGCCACGGGCUGUGUGUCGCUUAUUGCCCAAG